UAGGGAAUCUUCCGCAAUGGACGAAAGUCUGAUGGAGCAACGCCGCGUGAGUGAUGAAGGUUUUCGGAUCGUAAAACUCUGUUGUAAGGGAAGAACCAGUAUGUCAGGCAAUGGACGUACCUUGACGGUACCUUAUUAGAAAGCCACGGCUAACUACGUGCCAGCAGCCGCGGUAAUACGUAGGUGGCAAGCGUUGUCCGGAAUUAUUGGGCGUAAAGCGCGCGCAGGUGGUUUCUUAAGUCUGAUGUGAAAGCCCACGGCUUAACCGUGGAGGGUCAUUGGAAACUGGGAGACUUGAGUGCAGAAGAGGAAAGUGGAAUUCCAAGUGUAGCGGUGAAAUGCGUAGAGAUUUGGAGGAACACCAGUGGCGAAGGCGACUUUCUGGUCUGCAACUGACGCUGAGGCGCGAAAGCAUGGGGAGCAAACAGG
rnacentral:rRNA from 2 species